rnacentral:lncRNA from 1 species
CUAAAAGCGCUGGUUCGUGGGGCUCAUACUUUCAAGUGUCCAAACCUUGGUAUCACUAGCUGGACUAGGCUUCCAAUCCAUGAUGCUGACUUUGGUUGGGGAAGGCCAAUAUUCAUGGGACCUGGUGGAAUUGCAUACGAGGGGCUAUCUUUCAUAAUUCCAAGCUCAACCAAUGAUGGGAGCCUAUCUGUGGCCAUAGCUCUUCAGCCUGACCAUAUGAAGCUGUUUAAGGAUUUCUUGUAUGACAUUUGAAGAAUCAUUGCCUUCAAGCCAUAUGGAACGCCACAAUGUUUCUAGGUGGGGUUUUCUU